UUUGACUGUUGCCAGUCUCCUCUUGGCUGC
rnacentral:piRNA from 1 species